rnacentral:rRNA from 1 species
UAAUACGGAGGGGGCUAGCGUUGUUCGGAAUUACUGGGCGUAAAGCGCGCGUAGGCGGAUCAAAAAGUUAGAUGUGAAAUCCCUAGGCUUAACUUAGGAACUGCAUUUAAAACUAAUGAUCUUGAAUUUGGUAGAGGAUAGUAGAAUUUCCAGUGUAGAGGUGAAAUUCGUAGAUAUUGGAAAGAAUACCAGUGGCGAAGGCGACUAUCUGGGCCAACAUUGACGCUGAGGUGCGAAAGCGUGGGUAGCAAACAGGAUUAGAUACCCUGGUAGUCCACGCAGUAAACGAUGAGUGCUAGUCGCUGGGUCUUAUGAUUCGGUGUCUCAGCUAACGCAUUAAGCACUCCGCCUGGGAAGUACGGUCGCAAGAUUA